AACAUCAAUUUAUCAAGAAAUAA
rnacentral:snRNA from 1 species